rnacentral:misc_RNA from 1 species
GUUUUAUGUGUGUUCUGAGUGCCUCUAGUGCGUCGACGGUGUUGGUUUCAGCAUUAGGCAGGAUUAACGGGCUUUACUCUUUGCUCAAGGAAGGAAGAAGGUUCUCCGAGAGUUUAUAAGAACCGAUCGAGGGGUGUUGCCUUCCUGCUUAAUGGGCCUUAUCUCCUCUCCUACUGCUUUUCCCUUCACGGUUUAAUAGCUCUUGUUCUAUGAUUUUGUUUGCUAUUGAUAGUUCUAUAAGGGUUUGCUAGAUUUGGUUGGCCCUAAUUCUGUUUUUGGCAGAAGGGCUAUCUCCUUAGGUGUCGAUGCUUUGUUCUGAAAAACGGAGGAACUCCAUACUCGGGUGUUCCGUGGUUAAAUGGUGCUACAUAGGUUGAGAAACCGAGCCUUCAUUCGAGUAGGGUUGUUGUAUUUUCU